CAAUAGAGGAAGGGGUCAGUGACAGUUCCAGUUUCCCGCUAUCAAGCGAUAGUCUCUCAAAGAAGUGUCAUCGAAAUGUUCAGUAGUUCCUUUGGCCUUCAAACGCAAAAGGCGUCAAAGAUAAUGAAAAGGGCGAUAACGGUUCUUUAAGAAGGAUUGAACAAGGCUUUUUGGACCCCGUACACGUAUCAAUAUGGAAUGGCCCGACCCCGAGAAAGUGCCUAGCCGACGUCUCCUUCGCCUGUGAUCAUGCCAGUUGUUCCCACGUCCCGAUAGCCUCUUCCGAAAGUGAGAUAAGUGCGAUACGCUGGAUCCCUAACGCCCGUGCCAGUGAACGUAAAAACUGUAGCUGUGGAAGGGAAAAAGUUCUAGUGGAAGCCAUUAGAAGAGAGUCCCGUUUAACCCCUCUAGAUCACAAGUAGGGACAUCCCGCUAAAGGUCUAAGCCCGGAAAAGGAAAAC
rnacentral:lncRNA from 1 species